GGCCGGAUGGUGUAGUUGGUUAUCACGUAUCCUUAACAGGCUUCAGCCGGCUAUACGGAUAAGGUCCUGAGUUCAAUCCUCAGUCUGGUCA